rnacentral:lncRNA from 1 species
AAACCUUGAAGACAGGACAAAUCUCCUGUUCUGUUGGUUGUUCAUCCUGAAAGCGGGAGGGAGAUGGAUCUCCUGUCUGCCCACAGGAUCCAUUGCCUUUGGAGUACUGGAUUUCAAGACUUUAAUGUUAUACUAAACCGAAAGGCUUAUGCUGAGGGAGGCAAUGGCAUCAACAAGAGCCAUUCUGACAGGCAGAAAGUCAGCAAGCCAAAAAAUAAAGUAAUAAAUUCUGUUUUAACUUUUCUAAAGAGUGUGUGUGUGUAGGGGGUGGGGGUGGG